GGGUUUUACUUUUGUUAAGGUGCCAAAGCCCAUGUUGCUAGGGGACGGCUACUUAGGGAUAUUUAAAUCCCUUAAGUUUGAUCAACAGAGGGGAGCCGCACAUUAGAGGAUAAUAGUUAGAGUUUUAUUUUAAUUUCUCUCUUGGGCACUACACGUUAGUUUUGAUAGGAAGAAUUACUUUUGUUUACUUUAGUUUUAGUUUUUUUUUUCUCUAGCUUGGUGAUUGGAACUUGGCGGUUGGAGUAAGAAAGUGGCAGACGACUUUUGGUUGUUUCAAUAUUGGUGAUUCAGUUUUAUUUUCAAUUCAAGUUUUAUUUGCUUAGUUUAAUAUUUGCUUUUAAUUAUUUGAUUGUUCUUAGUUUAAUUAUGAGUAAUUAAUUUCUUUGAUUCGGCGAGAAUAAUGAAGUAUUGAUUUAAUAAUCUGUGAGACCUAAUUGAUCAUAUAAUUGAUUCCUAUUGAUUUCGAUUUAUUCCUUGUGUUUAAAGAUAAUUUUGAUUUUAUUUAAGCCUGAUCAACUUAGAUUAAAUUGGAUUAAAGUCAAUUGGUUCCUCCAAUCCGUAAUUGUUG
rnacentral:lncRNA from 1 species